rnacentral:rRNA from 1 species
AACGAACGCUGGCGGCAUGCCUAACACAUGCAAGUCGAACGAGACCUUCGGGUCUAGUGGCGCACGGGUGCGUAACGCGUGGGAAUCUGCCCUUGGGUCUGGAAUAACAGUUAGAAAUGACUGCUAAUACCGGAUGAUGACUUCGGUCCAAAGAUUUAUCGCCCAGGGAUGAGCCCGCGUCGGAUUAGCUUGUUGGUGAGGUAAAAGCUCACCAAGGCGACGAUCCGUAGCUGGUCUGAGAGGAUGAUCAGCCACACUGGGACUGAGGCACGGCCCAGACUCCUACGGGAGGCAGCAGUGGGGAAUAUUGGACAAUGGGCGAAAGCCUGAUCCAGCAAUGCCGCGUGAGUGAUGAAGGCCUUAGGGUUGUAAAGCUCUUUUGCCCGGGAAGAUAAUGACUGUACCGGGAGAAUAAGCCCCGGCUAACUCCGUGCCAGCCGCCGCCGUAACAC